GAUGAACGCUGGCGGCGUGCCUAAUACAUGCAAGUCGAGCGAACGGACGAGAAGCUUGCUUCUCUGAUGUUAGCGGCGGACGGGUGAGUAACACGUGGAUAACCUACCUAUAAGACUGGGAUAACUUCGGGAAACCGGAGCUAAUACCGGAUAAUAUUUUGAACCGCAUGGUUCAAAAGUGAAAGACGGUCUUGCUGUCACUUAUAGAUGGAUCCGCGCUGCAUUAGCUAGUUGGUAAGGUAACGGCUUACCAAGGCAACGAUGCAUAGCCGACCUGAGAGGGUGGUCGGCCACACUGGAACUGAGACACGGACCAGACUCCUACGGGAGGCAGCAGUAGGGAAUCUUCCGCAAUGGGCGAAAGCCUGACGGAGCAACGCCGCGUGAGUGAUGAAGGUCUUCGGAUCGUAAAACUCUGUUAUUAGGGAAGAACAUAUGUGUAAGUAACUGUGCACAUCUUGACGGUACCUAAUCAGAAAGCCACGGCUAACUACGUG
rnacentral:rRNA from 1 species